AUAGCAUUCCUUCACAAAAACGUUUUGGAAGACAUCUUAGUUCUAGAGAUCAGAGUCUAAAUUACACGGCGAAUCAUCUGGCGCGGAAAAAAAACAAGGUGCUUCGUAGCCGCCUGGACCGAAGAUCCCGCUCCUCGACGAAAGGGGCGCCCCAACGACGCCACCGCGUCGGCCUCUGAGGCAAAGCACCUCGGAGUCACGCGACAAACUAGCGCAUAGGCGUCACGUGCCCGCCCCGCUCUCCUUCCCCCUCAGCCAAUCACCUUUCCGUUGCCAUAGCAGAUACGGGCGACCCUAAACCGAGAGCGUUAUAGAAUCAAACAGGCGCGGGAGGGCGGUUCAAUUUGGACUCGCCUCGGCUUCGGGAAGGGGAGGGGCACGAGAGGCAGUCAUGUGCCGGUGAUAAUUGGGGGGCAAAAUUCCUUUUAUUUGGUCAAUAACUUCCGCUAACAUACAGUGGGAAAGGCUUAGCUUGUCAGAACCCCAAGUGUUUGCCGUAAAAGAGCAUAGGGUAGGCUAGCUUUUCUCUUCUCCCCACCCACCCCCAGUCUUUAUGCUGCGCUCGUUUUGUGGCAUCAAUUGUGUAAAUACCCGAGGAAAAGGGGUCUUUAAGGGCCGAAAGAAGGGGGUGGCGAAAUUCCGCCCAACCCCACCGGUGCUUCUGCUGUGUUUCAAGGCGACGCCCCUUCUCCCGCCCCGGUGCAAUCCCGCACCGCUCUCAGGUCGGAGUCCUUCUCCUUGGAACUCCGCGGCACCUCUUGAGUCAACGGGUUGGAUUACACGGUUGGGGUGACGUCAGAAACCGCCCGCCGCUCGAGCCACGCGCAGCCCGCGUCCUGACAGAAGAGGAGACCGGCUGGAAUAGCCUUGUGUCCCGCCCAUGGGCGGGGAGGAGGGCGGGGCGUUCCCACCUCCGGCAAGGAGAGGGAGGAGCUUGUGGCCCGCGAACCCUUGAAGUCACGUGCCAUUGGAAGCCUGGUUGCCGAUUGGAUAACUCACUUUCCGGUUCAGGGCGAAGAGCCAUCGAGACAGGCCGGCAGUUUGAGGAGAGGCCGAGGAGCAUUUGCUCGGGCGGGAGUCGCCGCUUGGGCAUCUUCCGUCGGCGAUGCUGGCGAGAUAGAGAAAUCAAACCUGAAAACGUCAUGGAUCGUAGCUGAGAGCUGCACGUGCUUGACGUCCCAACGGUUUGAACAAAACUGGCACCUUAUCGCGGGAAGCAGCCUAAAUUAUAAACCCAGAAAGAAGCUCAGGGAGGUUUGCAUAAAAACAGAAGAAUGCGAGACACGAAGCAACUUUUUCUUGUUUAAGAAACCUGCAUCUUCUUUCUCAAAAGAGGGGGAAAGGAACGGAUGCAGGAUUUCGGUGUCUUUGUUUGUUUGUUUAAAAUAUUUUUACCGUGCCUUUCUCCUUGAAGGGAGCCAAGGCUUAUAUUAUGGAAAGCUAAAAAUAAUAAGUAUAUAAAUAACUAAAAAGAAAUAAACAAGUAUAUUAAAAAUGGUAAAGAAAAUCA
rnacentral:lncRNA from 1 species